rnacentral:lncRNA from 10 species
UAUACCUAAUGCUAGAUGACGAGUUAGUGGGUGCAGCGCACCAGCAUGGCACAUGUAUACAUAUGUAACUAACCUGCACAAUGUGCACAUGUACCCUAAAACUUAAAGUAUAAAAAAAAAAAAAAGAAACUACCAGGAGCUGAACUUAAAGAGAUUGAAAUAAUAAAGAGAAAAAACAUAGAGUUCAGGAAAAAGGGAUCCAAAGCAGGUAUUGGGCAAAGGGAAUCCCAUGUUAGAUGGUAAGUGAAAAUCCUAGGAUAACGGUUGUACAGCAGGCCUAGAAAGCAACAGCCCAGCUUGGAGUAAGAGGAGGAGUAAGCUGACAGAGUUCUAGAAAGAAGAAGUAGUAAAAAUAAUUGAUGUAUUUAACCUGGGAGAAAGAAUGCUUUACUAUAUUGGCUAGUAUGUUAGCUAAUACAGAGUGGAAUGUAUGUUAGACAUGUCAGAUAUCAAGGAAAAGAAUAAAAGAAAGAAACAAAUAUGCGGCAAACCGACUGUAAGGUGACCCCUGUGAUCUUCAACUGCUGCUAUUUUAUCAUUUCCUCAUUUUGAGUUUGGAUGGAACCUGGUACCUGUUUCUCACCAAUAGAAUACAGCGAAGAUAAAAAGAUGUCUUACACUUCCAGCAGACUUGUUCUCCCUUUCCUUCUGGCUUGAAAGAAUAGGAAACAGAAAUAGAAACAAAAAACAGC